rnacentral:ribozyme from 13 species
AAAAGACAUGAAACAAAAAUGAAAAACAAAACAAAAACGAAAAAAAAAACAAAAACAAAGAACAAGCCACAACCGCUCUCGCCCACUCUUCCCUUUUCUUCUCUCUCCUCUCUCCUCUCU